GACGAACGCUGGCGGCGUGCUUAACACAUGCAAGUCGAACGGAAAGGCCCUGCUUUUGUGGGGUGCUCGAGUGGCGAACGGGUGAGUAACACGUGAGUAACCUGCCCUUGACUUUGGGAUAACUUCAGGAAACUGGGGCUAAUACCGGAUAGGAGCUCCUGCUGCAUGGUGGGGGUUGGACAGUUUCGGCGGUUGGGGAUGGACUCGCGGCUUAUCAGCUUGUUGGUGGGGUAGUGGCUUACCAAGGCUUUGACGGGUAGCCGGCCUGAGAGGGUGACCGGCCACAUUGGGACUGAGAUACGGCACAGACUCCUACGGGAGGCAGCAGUGGGGAAUAUUGCACAAUGGGCGGAAGCCUGAUGCAGCAACGCCGCGUGCGGGAUGACGGCCUUCGGGUUGUAAACCGCUUUCGCCUGUGACGAAGCGUGAGUGACGGUAAUGGGUAAAGAAGCACCGGCUAACUACGUG
rnacentral:rRNA from 1 species